AUUUCUUGUGUAGGAGUGAAAUCCGUAGAUAUAAGAAGGAACACCAAUGGCGUAGGCAGGUUACUGGGCUAUUUCUGACGCUAAGGCACGAAAGCGUGGGGAGCGAACCGGAUUAGAUACCCGGGUAGUCCACGCCGUAAACGAUGGAUACUAGCUGUUGGAGGUAUCGACCCCUUCAGUAGCGAAGCUAACGCGUUAAGUAUCCCGCCUGUGGAGUACGGUCGCAAGACUAAAACAUAAAGGAAUUGACGGGGACCCGCACAAGCGGUGGAUCGUGUUCUUUAAUUCGAUGAUAAACGAAGAACCUUACCAGGGCUUGACAUCCUUGGAAGCACUGCGAAAGCAGAGUGUGCCUUUUGGAACCAAGUGACAGGUGUUGCAUGGCCGUCGUCAGCUCGUGUCGUGAGAUGUUUGGUUAAGUCCAUCAACGAGCGCAACCCUUGUGAAUAGUUGUAUUUUUCUAUUCAGACUGCCCCGGCAACGGGGAGGAAGGAGGGGAUGAUGUCAGGUCAGUAUUACCCUUACGUCCUGGGCUAGAAACACGAUACAAUGGCUAGUACAAUGCGCAGCGAAGCCGCGAGGUGGAGCAAAUCGCAUCAAAGCUAGUCCCAGUUCGGAUAAGAGGCUGAAACUCGCCUCUUUGAAGUCGGAAUCGCUAGUAAUCGCAAAUCAGCAAGUUGCGGUGAAUACGUUCCCGGGUCUUGUACACACCGCCCGUCAAACCAUGAAAGUCACCAACACCCGAAGUCCGAUUCGUCGGCCUAAGGUGGGGGGGAUGAUUGGGGUUAAGUCGUAACAAGGUAGCCGU
rnacentral:rRNA from 1 species